CAAUUUCCUAGAGUCAAAAAUAAUGCAAUCCAUGAGCAAAAAAAAAAAAAAAAAAAUCAGUUCACCUUAUGAAUCAUUAAUCGAGUAUUUUUUAAUUAAAUGAAAUGAUAACCCAGCAGCCUCGGACAGACACAAGAGAACGCUCAUAACUGGUGCCAUUGAAGUUUAUCACCUCUGCAAAAGGGCAAAGAAAAUACAACGAGAAUGGGAAACCGCUUCCAACGGCAGCUGUGGCUGAGGCUGUACUGGCUGGCUGACUAAAUGACAUUCUCUAGUCCACAGAGGACCCCCCUUGGGGACACACCCCCCUUGGGCUUGCCCUUUGGCCUUUUUCUGAGCCGACUCUAAGCCAUCUCAAGGGAAAGGAAGUCUUCCUUUUCCAUCAGCAGACCUCGUGUGCUGGGCAGGCAGGAGGGCUGAGAGCCGUGGGACAGCCUCUAGGAUUUCUGUCUCGCGUGUUCUAUGAGCAGAUGCUCUAUCUGGGUCACGGUGGGAAGGGUUCUGCUGGCCUAGUUAGGCAGCAAAUGCCCCCGACACAAUCAAGCAUGCAAGCAAAGUGCUUUUGAUAACUUGUGCUACUCAAUGAGACAGGAUCACUUAUUUCUGGAAAUGUCUGAAUGGCAGGAGCAAGAUCAGAUCUAGAAGAGCUGGGAGCCAUACAAAGGAUCAAUCAAGGAGGGAAGAGACCUGGCCAGCCACCAGGAGGCUCUGCUUCCUGGCUUUGGUUUUAGGGACACUCACUGGGGAGCAAGGUGCUUCUAGUUGGGAAGGGCUG